rnacentral:rRNA from 1 species
AUAGAUAUUUAACGGCCGCGGUACUCUGACCGUGCAAAGGUAGCAUAAUCAUUUGCCUUAUAAUUGAAGGCUAGUAUGAAUGGUUUGAUGAAAACAAAGCUGUCUCCUUUUAAUUUUAUAAAACUUGAUUUUUGGGUGAAGAAGCCCAAAUAAAAUUGAUAGACGAGAAGACCCUAUCGAGCUUAAAAAAAUUUUAUUAAAACAAAGUUGCUUACAAAAGACCAGUUAUAAUAAAAAAUUUUAGUUGGGGCGACUAAGGAACAAUAAAGCUUCCAUUUUUAAUAUUAUAGCAUAUUAGCUAUGAUCCAAAAUCUUUGAUUAAAAGAAUUAGUUACCGUAGGGAUAACAGCAUAAUCUUUUUUGAGAGUUCUUAUCGAAAAAAAGGUUUGUGACCUCGAUGUUGGACUAAAAUAUCCUAAAAGAUGCAGAAGUCUUUAAGGGUUG